rnacentral:sRNA from 3 species
GGGAAGGAUGAGAAGCUUUGACUAAGGUUCGAUUCGAGCGCAGCGAGAAAGCGUUGCCGCAGGCAACGACCCGAAGGGUGAGGAGCGGAGCGACGAAUAAUCCUUCCCCCACCACCA